rnacentral:tRNA from 1 species
ACCUGGAUAAUUCAGUUGGUAGAGCAUCAGACUUUUAAUAUGAGGGUCCAGGGUUCAAGUCCCUGUUCAGGCA